AUUGAACGCUGGCGGCAGGCCUAACACAUGCAAGUAGAGCGGAGAGGCGGACGGGCGAGUAAUGCCUAGGAAUCUGCCUGGCAGUGGGGGAGAACGUCAGGAAAGGGGCGCUAAUACCGAAUACGAUCAGCUGCGCCUAGGUCGGAUUAGCUAGUUGGUGGGGUAAAGGCCUACCAAGGCGACGAUCCAUAACUGAUCGGAGAGGAUGAUCAGUCACACUGGACCUGAGACACGGUCCAGACUCCUACGGUGGGCAUCAUUGGGGAAUUUUGGCCAAUGGGCGAAAGCCUGAUGCAGCCCUGCCGCGUGUGUGACGAAGGUCUUCGGAUUGUAAAGCACUUUAAGUUGGGAGGCGUUACCAACAGAAUAAGCACCGGCUAACUUCGUGCCAGCAGCCGCGGUAAUAC
rnacentral:rRNA from 1 species